UACGGGGGGGGCAAGCGUUGUUCGGAAUUACUGGGCGUAAAGAGCGCGCAGGCGGUCGUUCAAGUCGCGUGUGAAAGCCCCCGGCUCAACUGGGGAGGGUCACGCGAUACUGAUCGACUCGAAGGCAGGAGAGGGAAGUGGAAUUCCCGGUGUAGUGGUGAAAUGCGUAGACAUCGGGAGGAACACCAGUGGCGAAGGCGACUUCCUGGCCUGUUCUUGACGCUGAGGCGCGAAAGCUAGGGGAGCAAACGGG
rnacentral:rRNA from 1 species